GCCUUCAGGAUGAGAAUGAAGUCUGUGAGACAAGAGAAAUUGUUUUUGGUCCAACCCUGCAGACCAUACAAGAGGAGGAGAGGGAUAUGCAGUUUCCCAAGUCACAAACCUGAUUGCCCCAUUUACCCCUGAUGUCCCCCACUGGGUUCU